GAAUGCUAUCGGUAGCAAACCAA
rnacentral:miRNA from 1 species